GACGAACGCUGGCGGCGUGCUUAACACAUGCAAGUCGAACGGAAAGGCCCUGCUUUUGUGGGGUGCUCGAGUGGCGAACGGGUGAGUAACACGUGAGUAACCUGCCCUUGACUUUGGGAUAACUUCAGGAAACUGGGGCUAAUACCGGAUAGGAGCUCCUGCUGCAUGGUGGGGGUUGGAAAGUUUCGGCGGUUGGGGAUGGACUCGCGGCUUAUCAGCUUGUUGGUGGGGUAGUGGCUUACCAAGGCUUUGCCGGGUAGCCGGCCUGUGAGGGUGACCGGCCACAUUGGGACUGAGAUACGGCCCAGACUGCUACGGGAGGCAGCAGUGGGGAGUAUUGCACAAUGGGCGGAAGCCUGAUGCAGCGACUCCGCGUGCGGGAUGACGGCCUUCGGGUUGUAAACCGCUUUCGCCUGUGACGAAGCGUGAGUGACGGUAAUGGGUAAAGAAGCACCGGCUAACUACGUG
rnacentral:rRNA from 1 species